UGGGCGAAAGCCUAACGCAGCGACGCCGCGUGGGGGAUGAAGCUUCUCGGAGUGUAAACCCCUUUCGACCGGGACGAAACGCCCGCAAGGGCUUGACGGUACCGGUAUAAGAAGCCCCGGCUAACUACGUGCCAGCAGCCGCGGUAAGACGUAGGGGGCCAGCGUUGCUCGGAAUUACUGGGCGUAAAGGGUUCGUAGGCGGUGCGGUAAGUCGGAAGUGAAAUCUCUGGGCUUAACUCAGAGGCUGCUUUCGAAACUGCCGUGCUAGAGUGCGGGAGAGGCGAGUGGAAUUACAGGUGUAGCGGUGAAAUGCGUAGAUAUCUGUAGGAACACCCGUGGCGAAGGCGGCUCGCUGGACCGCAACUGACGCUGAGGAACGAAAGCUAGGGGAGCAAACAGGAUUAGAUACCCUGGUAGUCCUAGCCCUAAACCAUCAGGACUUGGGGUGGCCCGCGUUGGCGGGUCGUCCCGGAGCUAACGCGUUAAGUCCUGCGCCUGGGGAGUA
rnacentral:rRNA from 1 species